ACGGGAGGCAGCAGUGGGGAAUAUUGCACAAUGGGGGAAACCCUGAUGCAGCGACGCCGCGUGAGUGAAGACGUAUUUCGGUAUGUAAAGCUCUAUCAGCAAGGAAGAAAAUGACGGUACUUGACUAAGAAGCCCCGGCUAACUACGUGCCAGCAGCCGCGGUAAUAUGUAGGGGGCAAGCGUUAUCCGGAUUUACUGGGGGUAAAGGGAGCGUAGACGGCAUAGCAAGUCUGAAGUGAAAUGCAUGGGCUCAACCCAUGAACUGCUUUGGAAACUGUUAAGCUAGAGUGCAGGAGAGGUAAGUGGAAUUCCUAGUGUAGCGGUGAAAUGCGUAGAUAUUAGGAGGAACACCAGAGGCGAAGGCGGCUUACUGGACUGUAACUGACGUUGAGGCUCGAAAGCGUGGGGAGCAAACAGGAUUAGAUACCCUGGUA
rnacentral:rRNA from 1 species